GAUGAAGAACGCAGCGAAAUGCGAUACGUAAUGUGAAUUGCAGAAUUCAGUGAAUCAUCGAAUCUUUGAACGCACAUUGCGCCCCUUGGUAUUCCGGGGGGCAUGCCUGUUCGAGCGUCAUUAUAACCCCUCAAGCUCAGCUUGGUGUUGGGGCCUGCCGACUGGCAGCCCUUAAAAUCAGUGGCGGCGCCAUCUGGCUCUAAGCGUAGUAAUUUCUCUCGCUAUAGAGUCCCGGUGGAUGCUUGCCAGCAACCCCCAACUUUCUAUGGUUGACCUCGGAUCAGGUAGGGAUACCCGCUGAACUUAAGCAUAUCAAUAAGCGGAGGA
rnacentral:misc_RNA from 1 species